GACGAACGCUGGCGGCGUGCCUAACACAUGCAAGUCGAGCGGGGAGAGCCUUCGGGCUUUUCCAGCGGCGGACGGGUGAGUAACGCGUGAGCAACCUUUCCUUCACAGGGGGAUAACGCAGCGAAAGCUGUGCUAAUACCGCAUAAGACCACAGGGUCACAUGAUCAAGGGGUCAAAGGAGGAAUCCGGUGAAGGGUGGGCUCGCGUCUGAUUAGCUAGUUGGCGGGGUAACGGCCCACCAAGGUGACGAUCAGUAGCCGACCUGAGAGGGUGAUCGGCCACACUGGGACUGAGACACGGCCCAGACUCCUACGGGAGGCAGCAGUGGGGAAUAUUGGGCAAUGGGCGAAAGCCUGACCCAGCAACGCCGCGUGAGGGAAGAAGGUUUUCGGAUCGUAAACCUCUGUCCUUGGGGACGAAAGAAAUGACGGUACCCAAGGAGGAAGCCCCGGCUAACUACGUGCCAGCAGCCGCGGUAAAACGUGCGUG
rnacentral:rRNA from 1 species